UACGGAGGGUGCGAGCGUUGUCCGGAAUUAUUGGGCGUAAAGAGCUCGUAGGCGGUUUGUCGCGUCGAAUGUGAAAACCCGGGGCUCAACCCCGGGCCUGCAUUCGAUACGGGCAGACUAGAGUUCGGUAGGGGGAGUCUGGAAUUCCUGGUGUAGCGGUGAAAUGCGCAGAUAUCAGGAGGAACACCGGUGGCGAAGGCGGGACUCUGGGCCGAUACUGACGCUGAGGAGCGAAAGCGUGGGGAGCAAACAGG
rnacentral:rRNA from 1 species